UAAGGAAUAUUGGUCAAUGGACGCAAGUCUGAACCAGCCAUGCCGCGUGAAGGAUGAAGGUCCUCUGGAUUGUAAACUUCUUUUAUAGGGGGCGAAAAAAGGGAAAUCUUUCUCACUUGACAGUACCCUAUGAAUAAGCACCGGCUAACUCCGUGCCAGCAGCCGCGGUAAUACGGAGGGUGCAAGCGUUAUCCGGAUUCACUGGGUUUAAAGGGUGCGUAGGCGGGCGUAUAAGUCAGUGGUGAAAUCCUGGAGCUUAACUCCAGAACUGCCAUUGAUACUAUAUGUCUUGAAUAUGGUGGAGGUAAGCGGAAUAUGUCAUGUAGCGGUGAAAUGCAUAGAUAUGACAUAGAACACCUAUUGCGAAGGCAGCUUACUACGCCUAUAUUGACGCUGAGGCACGAAAGCGUGGGGAUCAAACAGGAUUAGAUACCCUGGUAGUCCACGCCCUAAACGAUGAUUACUCGACGUGUGCGAUAAACGGUACGCGUCUGAGCGAAAGCAUUAAGUAAUCCACCUGGGGAAGUNCGACCGCAAGGUUGAAACUUAAAGGAAUUGAC
rnacentral:rRNA from 1 species